rnacentral:rRNA from 1 species
GUGCCAGCCGCCGCGGUAAUACGGAGGGGGUUAGCGUUGUUCGGAAUUACUGGGCGUAAAGGGCACGUAGGCGGAUUGGAAAGUUGGGGGUGAAAUCCCGGGGCUCAACCACGGAACUGCCUCCAAAACUAUCAGUCUAGAGUUCGAGAGAGGUGAGUGGAAUUCCGAGUGUAGAGGUGAAAUUCGUAGAUAUUCGGAAGAACACCAGUGGCGAAGGCGGUUCACUGGCUCGAUACUGACGCUGAGGUGCGAAAGUGUGGGUAGCAAACAGGAUUAGAAACCCCUGUAGUCC